AUUGAACGCUGGCGGCAGGCCUAACACAUGCAAGUCGAGCGGAUGAAGGGAGCUUGCUCCUGGAUUCAGCGGCGGACGGGUGAGUAAUGCCUAGGAAUCUGCCUGGUAGUGGGGGAUAACGUCCGGAAACGGGCGCUAAUACCGCAUACGUCCUGAGGGAGAAAGUGGGGGAUCUUCGGACCUCACGCUAUCAGAUGAGCCUAGGUCGGAUUAGCUAGUUGGUGGGGUAAAGGCCUACCAAGGCGACGAUCCGUAACUGGUCUGAGAGGAUGAUCAGUCACAGUGGAACUGAGACACGGUCCAGACUCCUACGGGAGGCAGCAGUGGGGAAUAUUGGACAAUGGGCGAAAGCCUGAUCCAGCCAUGCCGCGUGGGUGAAGAAGGUCUUCGGAUUGUAAAGCACUUUAAGUGGGGAGGAAGGGCAGUAAGUUAAUACCUUGCUGUUUUGACGUUACCAACAGAAUAAGCACCGGCUAACUUCGU
rnacentral:rRNA from 1 species